GUCAAGGCUUCCUUCCCUUAGGCCUCUCCCUAUCUGUGGUGAGCCUUCCUGCAGCGGCUGGGAGGAACUGAAAAGCGGCCUAGAGAGCAGCCAUGAAACAGCGGUCGGACACACGCUGUGCCAAAGGAAGCGUGGCGAGACCCUGCUCAGAUGGGCGUUUAGAGCAGUCAGAAUCCCAGAAUAAAAACGGUUGCAUCUUCUGUCAACAUCUAGAGUAUAUUUAGCAUGUCCUUCAACUACGGGUAUAGCAACAAGCCGCAAUUCACAACUAUUCACAAGGAUGACUUUGGCCCUGGGUAUCCCAGACUGAACCGAGGAGAGCACAGAAUGGAGCAGAAGGAUCUAUCUCUACUUCGGCAAGCUCAAGAAACGGGCGUAGAAGUACAAUUUUUUCGUUGUUGCUUUAUGAGCCAUGUUGGCAUAAUCACUGAAGGAAGAUGUGUGGCUCACGGCCAGAGAGACAGUGUGAGCAACGCUUCCAGGAUUUCGCUGGUGGAAAUUUCCACAGAUGUGUCUUCAGGGGAGGAGGUCAACUUAUUGGAUUCGUAUGGAACUACGAAAAGGGCUCUGAUUAAUUUGUUAGCUCUCUCUCUCUCUCCAUCUCUCUUUCUCUUUGUGGUGGAACCAAGGGUCCUUUGAUAUGCUCAGAACUCUGCAGAUCAGCUAAAAACGUACCAUUUUA